AAAGAUUUUAUGGUCGAACAGACCAAGUUUCUUAAACUUCUUCGCCUAAGACUUACUUUAAUCCAACAUCGAGGUCGCAACCCAUUCUUUCGAUAAGAACUCUAAAAAUGAUUACG
rnacentral:rRNA from 1 species